GGCGAACGCUUUUGGGAGAUCUUACUCUCCCACUGGGAACUUGAUCCCUCUGAAUUGGGAGAGAGAAGACACUUCUAUGCAUCAAAGCAAAUUCAUCGGCCAGGACAGCAGCAGCAUUAAUGGACGAGACCUUUUGUUCAUAUAGACAGACUACAACCCUUUCUGGAAGGCGAUUUUUAAAUUCCUUCAGUAGGAUGAGUUCACGGAGGUCAUCCAUAGUUUUAACUUUCCUGGCCUGGCACCACUGGUCAAAAAGCACACCUUUCUCUUUCGCAAACUCUACUUAUGUCUGGGUGGAAGUCUCUUCACAUUUUCUCAAUCUUUGUCUAUAUGCUUCAUGAGCAUGGAGGAUCAUAGACUGUGUGGAGGAUUAAUGAGAAUGGAGGACAGUGACUUUCACAAUAUCAUAAUUAAAGCUGUCUGCGAUGGACAGAGAGGCGCAAACUUCUUGAGCUUUACCCACCAACUUACACUGAAGUGAAAGAGGCCACAUGCUUUUAGGCCAGUUCAGAGUCUGCGCUCAAAUGCAUUAAAAUAAGAAUCUACCUCUGACUCUCUGAAUGAUGGGACUAGUGCAAUGUGCUUACUCACAUCGAAGCUAUAACAAGCUCGGGGUUUAGGUGCAUGUGAUAGAGAGGCUUCAGGCCUGGCAGCUACAGGGGCUUCCCUCUCUAACUCCAGAGCCCUUAACCUCAAAUGCAUGGCUUCCCCCUCCAACUCCCUGUUUCUCACCUCCAUCUCCCUUAUGCGCAGAGUUAAAGUGAGGUCCUCUGACAGGGCUCUGUUUCUUUGGUGGGUGAGGCAGGCAGCGUCCCAAUUACUCUCCUGCGGUAUACUGGCGCUAAGCAAACUUUAAGUCUUGAAGGUGUCCUCCCAUUUUUGGCCGAUUCUUGUAGCGGUUCAGAUGCUCUAGUGUGGGGAGUAAAAAUGAGUGCCGUGCGUGCGCCUCUGCAUUUGACUCGGCUGGCCUCCAUAAUCGCGACAGGUAAUUUUCAAAUUGCUGUGAGGUGUCAGCUCCCAGUAGCUGGCAUUGAUGUAAUUCUUGGAAGUGAUAUGGCUGGCGGGAAAGUUUUCCUGUCCCCUGUAGUAACCGACAACCCGACCUCCACAAUUGUGUCUCUCCACUUAACAUCUGAUAAGUCUGUGUCUUACCUUCUGGAUGAUGGUGUUUUAUAAGCACAUGGGUCUGCGCGCCAAAUUGUAGUCCCGCAGCUUUUCCGAUCACAGGUCCUAACUCUGGCCCAUGACCACUGUCUGUCUAGACACUUGGGCAUCAGAAAACGUAUCCUCCAUUAUUUUUUCUGGCCCCGGUCUAAAGUGCGAUGUGGUAAAAUUCUGUCAUGCCAUACCUGCUAAGUUUCCAGUAAGCCGAACCAAAAUAUUCUUGCUGCUCCAUUACAUCCCAUUCUGGUAGUUGGUGAGCCAUUUGAGCAUGUUAUUGUUGACUGCAUUGGCCCGUUACCAAAACCAAAUUCUGGCCACCAGUAUAUCCUCACAGUGAUGUGUGCUGCCACACGCUAUCCAGAAGCCAUCCCAUUGCGCACAUUAAAAGCCCAUGGCAUUGUGAAAGCACUUGUAAAGUUCUUUUCCACUUCCAAAACACAUUCAAAGUGACCAAGGCUCAAACUUUAUGUCCAGGAUUUUUGCAAAGGCCAUGUCAGAGCUAAAUGUUAAACACCACACUUUCAGAAAAGUCAAGCCAGAAAGUCAAGGCGCAUUGGAAAAAUUUCACCAAACUCUGAAAAGCUUGCUGCAUAAAUUCUGCACUGAGUUGGCCCAUAAGUGGGAUGACGGGUUACCCCUGUUGUUGUUUGCUGUGAGGGAAACUGUACAGGAGUCCUUAGGGUUCAGUCCAGCCGAUUUACUUUUUGGCCACAAUGUGCACAGUCCUUUGCGCCUGUUGCGGGAGCAGUGGCUCUCCGGUAAAUCCGGUUCCAAAGAAAACAUUUUGGACUAUGUCAGUUUGUUUCGGGAGAAAUUACAUCACGCAUGUGAAAUGGCACGGGAAAAUUGUGACGUUUAUUUGGAUGAUAUAGUAGCCUAUUCAUCCACCUGGGUUGAACAUCUCCUCACUGUCUGUGAUAUUUUCUGUCUGCAUAUGGCUUCCCUCACACUCAACUUGGCCAAAUGUGAGUUUGGGAAGGCUGUUGUCACUUAUCUGGGUAAGCAGGGGGGACAGUGUUGCGUCUGUCUCCGCCAAAGUGCAGGCCAUUCUGCAUUUCCCACCUCCCCAAACGUGCCGUGAACUCUGCCGUUUUUUGGGGGGACUUAGUGAGUCCUAAUCGACCAUUUGAGUGGUCAGAGGAAUGUCAGUCUGCUUUUGAGGCUGCUAAAGCUCUCUUCUGCAGCGCUCCUGUGCUUGCUGCUCCCAACUUUCUCUGCCCGUUUAAGCUGGAAGUUGAUGCCAGUGCGCAUGGAGCAGGCGCGGUACUUCUGCAGGAGGAUGACCGCGGCAUUGACCACCCUGUUGCUUACUUCUCCAAAAAGUUCAAUAAACACCAGCUGCACUACAAUGCUAUUAAGAAAGAGGCCCUGUCUUUGCUAUUAGCUCUCCAACACUUCUCAGUUUAUGUCAGUUCCAGUUCAGUGCCCACUGUCGUCUUCUCAGACCACAACCCGCUCGUGUUUCUGACUCGGAUGCAGAAUAGCAACCAGCGGCUGAUGCGUUGGUCUCUGUUGCUUCAGGACUUUAACGUUGAACUUUGUUAUGAAAGGGGUUUAAAAAAUGUAAUGGCGGAUGCCUUGUCCCGUUCUGGUUAAAAAUCUAAUUUUCUGUAGGGGGAUAAUGUUUGAUUUUGUUUGGGUGGGGAGUUGUUAUGACUGUAGUUGGUUUCUCCUGUUUUUGGUUAGGAGUUAGGUUACCUGUUGUCUUUUGUUUUAUAUUUUUUUUACUACAGGAAAGUUAGGGUUCUUGGUUUAGCUGUUUUUGUUUGUUGUGUUGGCAUUGCUCCCCUCCAAAGUCAAUAAAAAAUGCCUUUUAUGUGAACUUUAACCUCAUCGUUGGCUGGUCUUCCUGGGAGUGGGAAGAGCGGGGCACUCAAUCAUGUGCGGUCCUGGUUCCCCUAGGCCAGGGCCAUAACAGUAACAGAUUUCCCUCGCCAGACACCUUAUUGUUGUCAAAAAUCACAUUUUGACGGCAAUCGGGCAGUCUAAUGAAACAACGCUGAGAUUUCUAAGCAUGUGCAAAAAAAAGCUGCAUUUACAAACUGAUAUCAGUCAUCUGAGGAUUAAACUUACUCUCUCACAUAUUUUAACACUCUGAAUGAUCAAGUGGAGAUGUAAAACAUUAUAUGUUACUGUAAAAACACAUAGGGUGUUUUUCUCCGAAACAUGUAACCUCAUUUUCUUUUAGAAAGUGAAAUCAUCUGUAAUACUUAACAUCCAGUAAUUUCUACCACUGUCCUUCAUCUAUUACAGUUUUAUUCCCCCUCUCAUCUGUAACCACCAUGUCUUAUUCUCAUCGACACACUCUCAUCCACAAUUCUCAACUCUUCAUCCUAAUCACCAGCUCUCAGCUUUGGUUUUAACCCUCCCAACGCUCUUAUUGACCCCUCUUGUGUGGUGUCCAC